rnacentral:tRNA from 1 species
GGCAUAGCUCAGUGGUAGAGCGCGUGCUUAGCAUGCACAAGGUCCUGGGUUCAAUCCCCAGUACUGCCA